rnacentral:rRNA from 1 species
GGUAUGUACUGGCUUCGCUGAUUCCUCCUUUCUGAAGAACUGUAAUGUCAUUAAUUUGGUGUUGCAGGGAAACAGGACUGUUACUUUGAAAAAAUUAGAGUGUUUAAAGCAGGCUAACGCUUGAAUACAUUAGCAUGGAAUAAUGAAAUAGGACGUUCGAUCCUAUUUUGUUGGUUUCUAGGAUUGACGUAAUGAUUAAUAGGGAUAGUUGGGGGCAUUAGUAUUCAAUUGUCAGAGGUGAAAUUCUUGGAUUUAUUGAAGACUAACUACUGCGAAAGCAUUUGCCAAGGAUGUUUUCAUUAAUCAAGAACGAAAGUUAGGGGAUCGAAGACGAUCAGAUACCGUCGUAGUCUUAACCAUAAACUAUGCCGACUAGGGAUCGGAUGAUGUUAAUUUUUUAAUGACUCAUUCGGC